GCUUAACACAUGCAAGUCGAGCGAGAAAUUUAGAAUGGAUCUUUCGGGAGAAACUUUAAAUGGACAGCGGCGGACGGGUGAGUAACGCGUGGGAAACCUGCCUUAUGCAAGGGGAUAGCCUCGGGAAACCGUGAUUAAUACCCUAUAAAGCUCUAGCACCGCAUGGUGCAGGAGUCAAAACUCUGGUGGCAUAAGAUGGUCCCGCGUCUGAUUAGCUAGUUGGUGAGGUAACGGCUCACCGAGGCGACGCGUAGCCGGCCUGAGAGGGUGACCGGCCACACUGGGACUGAGACACGGCCCAGACUCCUACGGGAGGCAGCAGUGGGGAAUAUUGGACAAUGGGCGAAAGCCUGAUCCAGCAAUGCCGCGUGAGGGAUGACGGCCUUCGGGUUGUAAACCUCUUUCAGCAGGGACGAAGCGCAAGUGACGGUACCUGCAGAAGAAGCACCGGCCAACUACGUGCCAGCAGCCGCAGUAACAC
rnacentral:rRNA from 1 species